UGAAAGGACCGACCUUCGGGGAGCCUAUACAGGUGUUGCAUGGCUGUCGUCAGCUCGUGUCGUGAGAUGUUCGGUUAAGUCCGCUAACGAGCGCAACCCUCGUCGUAUGUUAUAUGUGUCAUACGAGACUGCCGGUAAAAAGCCGGAGGAAGGUGAGGAUGAUGUCAAGUCAGCAUGACCUUUAUAUCCAGGGCUACACACACGCUACAAUGGUCUGUACAAUGGGUAGCCAAGCCGCGAGGCGGAGCCAAUCCUGAAAGCAGGCCUCAGUUCAGAUUGCAGUCUGCAACUCGACUGCAUGAAGCCGGAGUUGCUAGUAACCGCAGGUCAGCAAUACUGCGGUGAAUACGUUCCCGGGUCUU
rnacentral:rRNA from 1 species